rnacentral:rRNA from 1 species
CACAAGCGGAGGAGCAUGUGGUUAAUUCGAUGAUACGCGAGGAACCUUACCUGGGCUCGAACGUAAGAUGACUGUAGGUGAAAGCUUACAUCUCUUCGGAGCAUUUUACGAGGUGCUGCAUGGUUGUCGUCAGCUCGUGCCGUGAGGUGUCGGGUUAAGUCCCAUAACGAGCGCAACCCCUACCUUUAGUUGCCAUCAGGUUAAGCUGGGGACUCUAAAGGAACUGCCUACGCAAGUAGUGAGGAAGGCGGGGAUGACGUCAAAUCAGCACGGCCCUUACGUCCAGGGCUACACACGUGCUACAAUGGCCGAUACAGAGGGCAGCUACCUGGUGACAGGAUGCAAAUCUCCAAAGUCGGUCUCAGUUCGGAUCGGAGUCUGCAACCCGACUCCGUGAAGUUGGAUUCGCUAGUAAUCGCGCAUCAGCCAUGGCGCGGUGAAUACGUUCCCGGGCCUU